ensembl:lncRNA
AUGUGCGGUACCGGGCCGGGGGUCGGUGCCAGGGAAGGUGCGGGGCCGGGGCCGCUGCGGGACUGGGGAGGGGCCGGGGAAGGUGCGGAGCCGGUGCGGGGCCGAGGGGGCCGGGGGCAGUGCAGGGUCGGGGUGCUGCGGGAUUUGGGGAUUGCGGGGCCGGUGCGCGGCCGGGGGUCCGGGACCGGUGCGGAGCCGAGGGCGGUGCGGGGCUGCUCCCGCCCGCAGCUCCUCCCGUCCCGCUGGGCUCCACCCGCCCGCCGGCCCCGGCGAUAUUUAACCUGGGCCGGGGCGGGGAAGCGGCAGCGGCGAGCGGGGACGGAGCCGACCCCGGGGCAGCGCAGCCCGAUCCCGGUCAGGCACCGCCGGGAGGGACCCCGCGCCGCCCCCGGGCCGCGGCACAGCCAGGGAGCCGAGGGGGGCAGGACGAGGAGGGGGCUGCGAUCUGAGCCGGACCCCAGCGCGACCCCCGCGCCCGCCCCGCGUCUCCCGCAGCCUCCGCCGCUCGUCCCGUCCGGUCCCGUCCGGCCAUGCGAGCCCCGGCCCCGCUGGCGCUGGGUUGCGUCAGCUUCGCGCUGUGCCUUGUGGAGCUGCCCCACGGGCGGGCCCUGCCGCCGCGCAGGUGAGGGACCCUGCCCGCACCUCUGCCCGCACCCCCUGCCCGCACCCCCUGCCCCGAUCCCCCUGCCCGCACCCCUGCCCGCACCCCCUCCCGCACCCCCUGCCCGAUCCCUGCCCCGAUCCCUGCUCCGCUCCCUGCCCCGCACCCCCUGCCCGCAGCCCCCUCCCGCACCCCUGCCCCGAUCCCUGCCCCGAUCCCUGCCCGCACCCCCUGCCCGCACCCCCUGCCCGAUCCCUGCCCCGAUCCCCCCUCCCGCACCCCCUCCCGCAUCCCUGCCACGCACCCCGUGCCCGCACCCCCUGCCCGCACCUCUUUCCGCACCCCCUGCCCGCAGCCCCCUCCCGCACCCCCUGCCCGCUCCCUGCCCCGGUCCCUGCCCCGGUCCCUGCCCGCACCCCCUCCCGCACCCCCUGCCCCGGACGCUUCUGGAUCCCCCUGCCCGCACUCUCUGCCCGGGACGAGCCCCCCAACCUCUCCCCUGCCGAACCUCCACCCCACUCCUCCUGUCUGCCCGGCCCCGCACCCCUAUUCCCGCACCCCUAUUCCCGCACCCCUAUUCCCACGACCCACUCCGCGCCCUCCCGGUGUCCCCCCGCCCCAUCAGCUGCCCGGGAUGGGGGUCUGGGGGGUCCCGGGGCACCGUCUCCUGCCCGGCCCCCAGCCCGGGGGGCGCGGUGGCGGGAGGGGGGCACCGGGGUCACGGCAUGCCCGGGGUGCGAGGUGUGCAAAGGUGUGCAAAAAUGUGCCAGGUGUGCCAAGUGUGCCAGGUGUGCCAAGUGUGCAAAGGUGUGCCAGGUGUGCAGAGAUUCGGUGCGUGCAGGAGCUCGGGGGUGCCCGGGACCUGUGUGGGUGCCCGUGGGGGGGUCUGUGGGGUGCUGAAGUGGCAGCUGGGGCCGGGACAGCCCCCCACCCGUGGGAGUGUGCACACCCCGCACGUGCGUGUGCGUGUCCCUGCGCGGGGAGCGCGUCUGGACCGGCCCCGGUGCCCGGGGAUCCCCGCCUGGCUGCGGGGGGAUCCGGCCCCGGGGUUGGGGGGCACCGGGACACCCCGACCCCGCAGGGCCCGGGCAGCUCCUGCCUGGGCUGGGCUGGGGGUGGGUCCUCUGGGGCGAGGGUCAAAAUGGGGAGAAAAUAUUAAAAAAAAGGGAAAAGAGAAGCACGGGGCUAAGAACGGGACCAAAAGCUGCCGGUUCCCGGGAGCUCAGGAGGGUCCCCUGAGGCAAAGGUGCCCCCGGGCCAGGGGCGCUGAGGCCGUGGGCAGCUCCGUGGCGGUGCCCUGA